CCCCCAAUCCUCGUCUCUUCUCCUCCUCCCCAAUGGCGCCGCCGAGCCGCCGCCUCUCCUCCUCCCCCAACCCGCGUCGCCGCCUUUCCUCCUCCCAAGCGGGAUGCAACCGCAUCGGGAGAGCAUCCGCGGGGCUGCUGCGUGGAGCACCGGGAGGCGAUGGUCACCGCCGGUCGCGGGCGUCGCGGUGCGAAGAGCAGGUGGGGCCGCAUCAGCCAUCGCCUUGGGUCGCUGCCGUCGUCGCGGCUCCUCCACGCCAUGGUCGUUGGACAGCGCCAUGGAGCGCAUCUCCAACAAAUCGCGAAUCCGGGACAUGACGUGGAUCUGCUCCGUCGACGACUGGAGGCGACGGGCUCGCGCGGGGCAGAUCCGCAGCGGUGGCGACUGGAGGCGCCGGGCGCGGCCGAAGACGGGCCGGCGCGGGGCGGAUCCGCUCCGGCGAAUACCAGAGGCGAAGGGGCAAGGCGGCGGCCGCUCCAUCCUUCCCCACGUGCUGGUUGUGCUGAUUCCGGGCUGGAUAGGUCGGUGCUGGACCUCAAGGGCGUCUGCUCCACUGACAGCCUCUUUGUAGUAAAAAUGAAGCAGAGCAAGGGAAUCAUAAGGGAGGCAAUGGGGAUGGGAAGGUUUGAUGGAUAAUCACCAUUUCUUAACCAUAUUUGGACCUUCCAAGAAAAUUAUGGCAGAUUGAACCUCUCCAGAGCUCAUGCUUCUAUCAACCAGGGCGGGCACUUUUUGCGGUCCCAAGCCUGUUCAUGGACAAGGACGAGUACAAAAAUUAAUAAUAUGUCUUUCAUCAAAGAAUAUUUCCAUGGUGGAUUGUCUGCAUGAGUGGAACAGACAGUGGCGAAGCAUAGGAGUGACAAGCCACGUGGAAGACACGGAGACGUUGAGGAAAUACCCUCCCCUGCAGUAACAAGGUGAUUGUCUG